UACGAAGGGGGCUAGCGUUGCUCGGAAUUACUGGGCGUAAAGCGUGCGUAGACGGUUACAUAAGUCGGGUGUGAAAGCCCCGGGCUCAACCUGGGAAUUGCAUUCGAGACUGCGUAGCUAGGGUACGGAAGAGGGAGGCGGAAUUUCAGGUGUAGCGGUGAAAUGCGUAGAUAUCUGAAGGAACACCAGUGGCGAAAGCGGCCUCCUGGUCCAGUACCGACGUUCAGGCACGAAAGCGUGGGGAGCAAACAGG
rnacentral:rRNA from 1 species